rnacentral:lncRNA from 1 species
UUUUUUUUUUUUUUUUCAACAAAUAUUUUUUGAGUGACCUCCGUGGGCCGGGCUAUGGAGUAACUAUACUGUGACCUAACACACUUUGCUUCCCUGCAAAUUGUUCAAUAUACUUGCUGAAAUUCAGCUCUACUUCAUGCGUGGUACCCACAGUCUACCAAAUUAGUAACCUAAACACUAGAAUAGGAAUUGAUAUUAGUUUUCAUUUCCUGAUUUGUUUAUUCUUUCAAAAAAAUUUUUGAGUGGUUUCCAGGGGAGAGGUGCUGUGCCUGGGGCUGGAACUGCAGUGGUACACAGGACAGAAUGAGGCCUCCUUUUCAGCUUGAACUCUUGCAAGGAAUUGCAAUGCUCAGGCUGACUCCUACUCAUCACCACAUUCCUUGCUGAUCCUGCAAAAACUCCUAUUAAACAAUCUGGCUGGGCGCGGUGGCUCACUCCUGUAAUCCCAGCACUUUGGAGGCUGAGGUGGGUGGAUCGCCUGAGAUCAGGAGUUCGAGGCUAGCCUGGCCAACAUGGCAAAACCCUGUCUCUACUAAAAAUACAAAAACUAGCUGGGCGUGUGGCGUGCCUGUAAUCCCAGCUACUUGGGAGGCUGAGGCAGGAGAACUGCUUGAACCUGGGAGGCAGAGGUUGCAGGGAGCUGAGAUUGCACCACUGCACUCCAGUCUGGGUGACAGAGCGAUACUGUCUCCAAAAAAAUAAUAAUAAUACAUACUAAAAUUUGCCAGCUAUAAAGAACAAAGGGAGAGGGUCAUGACCUUGCUCUUUCCAAACUUAAAUAGCUAACGAUUAAACUUGACAUUAUUUGAUCAACAGAGUGGUAAAAUUAAUGAAAUGGUGUCUAAAAUAAUGUUCGAGAAAUUUUUUGUAAAUAAAUGAAGCAGAGAAGUAAAACAAAGGGAUAGCAAAAAUAUUGCAGCUAAUACAGAACAUUAAAAACUAGUGUAAUCUAAUCCAUGGGCCAUGAAGAUAAAUUUCACUUAAUGAAAUUCAUAAUAUUCUCUCUUAUUAUCUUUUCAAAUUUACUGUUAUCACCAGAGGCAUAACUCCUACUUUAUAUUCCAAAAAAGAAGUCCCAGAUCUAAAUCUCUGAGUCUCUGGCAAUCGGGCUUAAAUGUUUCACUAUCUAAUCAUGUCAUUUAUAAUUAUAAAGUGUACAGCUCUAUUCCUGGAUUUGUGGGUCUCUUACAAAUAUAAACUAUCACCUGGUGUUCAAUUGAUCAGUAGAGUUACUAUAGUUAACACGAAUCAAUUAUACAUCUCAAAGUAGCCAGAAGAUAAUAUUUUGAAUGUCUAUAGCAUAAAAAAGAAUAUUUGGGGUGGUAGAUAUAUAUACCAAUUAACCUGACCUGAUUAUAUGAAUGUAUCAAAUUAUCACAUGUACCUCAAAAAUAUGUAUACCUAAUAUGUAUCAAUAAUAAACCAGAUGGAUAGAUAGAUAGAUAAUCAUGAGUCUUGCUUUUCCAGAGGGGCACAUAACAUAGAAUUAAUUCCAAUUCCACUGGAAAAAUUUUAUUUGGUCUGAUUAGUGUCAAUGAGGGGGGAAAAUUCAGUAGUUUUCAUCUAAAUAGUCACAAAUUCCAUUUUCAAUAACGCUCAUAUCAUACAAUGAACUAAUUUUUCAAGCAACUUUUCAAAAAUCUAUACAUUACCAUGCUUACUGUACUUACUAUCUAAAAUAACAAAAGAAGCAUACUGAUUUGGGAUUAAUAUGGCUUCUAGUCCAUGCAUUCAGGGACCUUAAUGAGGAUGGUAAUAUUUUAAAAAAUACAUGAAAUUCACGGUUCUUUAGCUCCAUGGGACAGAAAAGUGAUUUCCUACACAAGCUUAAAGACAUAAUUAAACAUAUAUUUCAUUUCUCUUUCAAGAAUAUUCUUCUGAGCUUAUCGAAUACAGCUGCAGGGAAAGCAACUGGCAGUUUCCAGGCAAAAGGAAAACUAUCAGUUCUUUAUAAGCUGCUUUAUGGGUUGUCAAUUUCUCUAUCUUUCCACAUUGGCAUCUUCUGUCUUGAUAUCAUUUAAAUUAAAUUAGAAAUUAGUGUUUUACUGGGAAAAAAUAAUGUUGCUACAGGGCAAAAAA